rnacentral:rRNA from 1 species
AUUGAACGCUGGCGGCAGGCCUAACACAUGCAAGUCGAGCGGAUGAAGAGAGCUUGCUCUCUGAUUUAGCGGCGGACGGGUGUGUAAUGCCUAGGAAUCUGCCUGGUAGUGGGGGAUAACGUUCCGAAAGGGACGCUAAUACCGCGUACGUCCUACGGGAGAAAGCAGGGGACCUUCGGGCCUUGCGCUAUCAGAUGAGCCUAGGUCGGAUUAGCUAGUUGGUGAGGUAAUGGCUCACCAAGGCGACGAUCCGUAACUGGUCUGAGAGGAUGAUCAGUCACACUGGAACUGAGACACGGUCCAGACUCCUACGGGAGGCAGCAGUGGGGAAUAUUGGACAAUGGGCGAAAGCCUGAUCCAGCCAUGCCGCGUGUGUGAAGAAGGUCUUCGGAUUGUAAAGCACUUUAAGUUGGGAGGAAGGGCAGUAAGUUAAUACCUUGCUGUUUUGACGUUACCGACAGAAUAAGCACCGGCUAACUUCGUGCCAGCAGCCGCAGUAA